rnacentral:rRNA from 1 species
AACGAACGCUGGCGGCGUGCCUAACACAUGCAAGUCGAGCGUGAAAGUUCCUUCGGGAAUGAGUAAAGCGGCAGACGGGUGAGUAAUACAUAGGUAAUCUACCUUCGAGCUUGGGAUAACCCCGCGAAAGUGGGGCUAAUACCGGAUAAGACCACGCGGCAUACGCUACGCGGUAGAAGGUGGCUUUUUCUUCGGAUUGAGCUAUCACUUGAGGAUGAGCCUAUGGCCUAUCAGCUUGUUGGCGGGUAAGAGCCCACCAAGGCUAUGACGGGUAGUUGGUCUGAGAGGACGACCAACCACACUGGGACUGAGACACGGCCCAGACUCCUACGGGAGGCAG